ACUCCUACGGGAGGCGCAGUAGGGAAUCUUCCACAAUGGGCGAAAGCCUGAUGGAGCAACGCCGCGUGUGUGAUGAAGGCUUUCGGGUCGUAAAGCACUGUUGUAUGGGAAGAACAGCUAGAGUAGGGAAUGACUUUAGUUUGACGGUACCAUCCAGUAAGGGACGGCUAAAUACGUGCCAGCAGCCGCGGUAAUACGUA
rnacentral:rRNA from 1 species